GGCGCAGUUGUAGUGUGGCCGAGCGGUCCUAAGGCGCUGGAUUUAGGUUUCCAGUCUCGACAGGGCGUGGGUUCGAAUCCCACCACUGCCA